GGAGGAGCCGGCCUGGCUACGGCAGCGCCGCUGGAAAUGGCGCAGGCCCCGCCCGCGGGGUCUCGUGGGUUCGAAUCCCACCUCCUCCGCC
rnacentral:tRNA from 1 species